GACGAACGCUGGCGGCGUGCCUAACACAUGCAAGUCGAACGGGACCUUCGGGUCUAGUGGCGGACGGGUGAGUAACGCGUGGGAACGUGCCCUUUGGUUCGGAAUAGCCCCGGGAAACUGGGAGUAAUACCGGAUAAGCCCUACGGGGGAAAGAUUUAUCGCCAAAGGAUCGGCCCGCGUUGGAUUAGGUAGUUGGUGGGGUAAUGGCCUACCAAGCCGACGAUCCAUAGUUGGUUUGAGAGGAUGAUCAGCCACACUGGGACUGAGACACGGCCCAGACUCCUACGGGAGGCAGCAGUGGGGAAUCUUAGACAAUGGGGGAAACCCUGAUCUAGCCAUGCCGCGUGAUCGAUGAAGGCCUUAGGGUUGUAAAGAUCUUUCAGUGGGGAAGAUAAUGACUGUACCCACAGAAGAAGCCCCGGCUAACUCCGUGCCAGCCGCCGCGGUAA
rnacentral:rRNA from 1 species